GCCGGGGCGGGCGGCGCGGGGGCGGCAUGAGGGCCCGCGGCCCGGGGGGCUGAGGCGCCCGCCGCCUGCCGCGGGGGCCGCUCGCGUCCUCCAUGGAGGCCGGAGAGGAACCGCUGCUGCUGGCCGAACUCAAGCCCGGGCGCCCCCACCAGUUUGACUGGAAGUCCAGCUGUGAAACCUGGAGCGUCGCCUUCUCCCCAGAUGGCUCCUGGUUUGCUUGGUCUCAAGGACACUGCAUCGUCAAACUGAUCCCCUGGCCGUUGGAGGAGCAGUUCAUCCCUAAAGGGUUUGAAGCCAAAAGCCGAAGUAGCAAAAAUGAGACGAAAGGGCGGGGCAGCCCAAAAGAGAAGACGCUGGACUGUGGUCAGAUUGUCUGGGGGCUGGCCUUCAGCCCGUGGCCUUCCCCACCCAGCAGGAAGCUCUGGGCACGCCACCACCCCCAAGUGCCCGAUGUCUCUUGCCUGGUUCUUGCUACGGGACUCAACGAUGGGCAGAUCAAGAUCUGGGAGGUGCAGACAGGGCUCCUGCUUUUGAAUCUUUCCGGCCACCAAGAUGUCGUGAGAGAUCUGAGCUUCACACCCAGUGGCAGUUUGAUUUUGGUCUCCGCGUCACGGGAUAAGACUCUUCGCAUCUGGGACCUGAAUAAACACGGUCUUUCUAUGGAGCAUGAGGUCCUACACAUUAAUUCGGAAGCUAGAGGGCCAUCAAAGCAGUGUUGUCUCUUGUGACUUCUCCCCCGACUCUGCCCUGCUUGUCACGGCUUCUUACGAUACCAAUGUGAUUAUGUGGGACCCCUACACCGGCGAAAGGCUGAGGUCACUCCA
rnacentral:sRNA from 1 species